AAGCAACGCGCAGAACCUUACCAGCCCUUGACAUCCCGAUCGCGGAAGGUGGAGACACCCUCCUUCAGUUAGGCUGGAUCGGAGACAGGUGCUGCAUGGCUGUCGUCAGCUCGUGUCGUGAGAUGUUGGGUUAAGUCCCGCAACGAGCGCAACCCUCGCCCUUAGUUGCCAUCAUUAAGUUGGGCACUCUAGGGGGACUGCCGGUGAUAAGCCGAGAGGAAGGUGGGGAUGACGUCAAGUCCUCAUGGCCCUUACGGGCUGGGCUACACACGUGCUACAAUGGUGGUGACAGUGGGCAGCGAGACCGCGAGGUCGAGCUAAUCUCCAAAAGCCAUCUCAGUUCGGAUUGCACUCUGCAACUCGAGUGCAUGAAGUUGGAAUCGCUAGUAAUCGUGGAUCAGCAUGCCACGGUGAAUACGUUCCCGGGCCUUGUACACACCGCCCGUCACACCAUGGGAGUUGGUUUUACCCGAAGGUGCUGUGCU
rnacentral:rRNA from 1 species